GGCCGUAUGGUGUAGUGGUUAUCACGUGUCCUUUACACGGACAAGGGUCAGUCAAUUGUAUUUCUAAUUUCUGAUAAAUUAAACUAAUACACAUUUAAAGUCCUGAGUUCGACCCUCAGUGUGGUCA
rnacentral:tRNA from 1 species